UCUCUACGGAAUAGCCUCGGGAAACUGAGAGUAAUACCGUAUACGCCCUUCGGGGGAAAGAUUUAUCGGAGAAGGAUCAGCCCGCGUAAGAUUAGAUAGUUGGUGGGGUAAUGGCCUACCAAGUCUACGAUCUUUAGCUGGUUUUAGAGGAUGAUCAGCAACAUUGGGACUGAGACACGGCCCAGACUCCUACGGGAGGCAGCAGUGGGGAAUCUUGGACAAUGGGCGCAAGCCUGAUCCAGCCAUGCCGCGUGUGUGAUGAAGGCCUUAGGGUCGUAAAGCACUUUCGCUAGAGAUGAUAAUGACAGUAUCUAGUAAAGAAGUCCCGGCUAACUCCGUGCCAGCAGCCGCGGUAAUACGGAGGGGACUAGCGUUGUUCGGAAUUACUGGGCGUAAAGCGUACGUAGGCGGAUCAGAAAGUAUGGGGUGAAAUCCCAGGGCUCAACCCUGGAACUGCCUCAUAAACUCCUGGUCUAGAGUUCGAGAGAGGUGAGUGGAAUUCCGAGUGUAGAGGUGAAAUUCGUAGAUAUUCGGAGGAACACCUGUGGCGAAGGCGGCUCACUGGCUCGAUACUGACGCUGAGGUACGAAAGUGUGGGGAGCAAACAGGAUUAGAUACCCUG
rnacentral:rRNA from 1 species